rnacentral:rRNA from 1 species
AUACGUAGGGGGCGAGCGUUGUCCGGAAUUAUUGGGCGUAAAGGGUGCGUAGGCGGCAUUUUAAGUCAUUUGUGAAAUUCUACGGCUUAACCGUAGACUUGCAGGUGAAACUGGGAUGCUUGAGUGCAGGAGAGGAGAACGGAAUUCCUGGUGUAGCGGUGAAAUGCGUAGAUAUCAGGAGGAACACCAGUGGCGAAGGCGGUUCUCUGGACUGUAACUGACGCUGAGGCACGAAAGCUGGGGUAGCGAACAGGAUUAGAUACCCUGGUAGUCCCAGCUGUAAACGAUGGAUACUAGGUGUAGGCAUCGGAGAUGUCUGUGCCGCAGUUAACGCAUUAAGUAUCCCGCCUGGGGAGUACGGUCGCAAGGCUGAA